UUCCCCUCCGGGCUGCAGAAGGAUCCCAAAACUAACAUCGAAUUAUAAAUCAAGCCAACAUCAUCAAUCCGAAAAGGUGGAGGCGAAGAGACGAAUCCUCCGACCGGACGGAGAUCAAUAGCGUUCCCGGGCCCGCUCCUCCGCCGCCGUUCCUGCCUGCCCCAGUUGGCAAGGCGAUCCCCGUUGGAAUAUGGCGUUGUAAUGGGACGAUUUUGAAGGCGCCGACUUUCUGGCUCGUUUUCUGCUCGACGCCCUGCACCCACUCCCUUCCUGAGACGCUCUCCUCCUUAGUAUUGCAUUAAUGGUAAUGCAUGCGAGGAAACUACCACGUAUUAGCGAUGGGUUCAACGAGAAGCACCAGGCCCACAGCUACGAGAAUUCAAAAUACAGUAGUAAGUACCGCUACAGCAACCAUGAGAAAAACAGGGACUCUCCCUCUACAAAUUCUCUGCGAUCCUCCUCACCAGACUCUCGAUCACAGUCUCCACGCUACCACAAGGCUGCCAACUACUACAAGGUGCGUGAGAAGGAGCGGGAAAGAGACCGUGAGAACCGGGAGAGAGACCGGGACAGAGACAGAGAGAGGGAGCGCGAGCGGGAACGGGAACGCGACCGGGACCGGGACCGAGACAGAGAGAGGGACCGGGAGCGCGAGCGGGACCGAGAACGCGACUACCGAGGAGACUACAGGGACAGAGGUGAGUUGUAUGACAGUCGAUCGCCUAAAGACCGCAGGCGAGAAGUGCGAGACCGUGAUAGAGAGCGGGAGCGCGACAGGGACAGCCGUGGAAACCAUGACCGAAUUAAUUCUGUUCACAAGAAAGAGGAAAAAGAACGUUUGGCGAGGGUGGGGGACUGGUCGGAGCAUGUAAGCUCAUCAGGCAAGAAGUACUACUAUAACUGCCGAACUGAGGUAUCCCAGUGGGAGAAGCCCCCAGAGUGGCUAGAAUGGGAGAGAGCACGUGCCAAGGAGACCUCUAAUAGGUCACAUGACAAGACCUCGAAUAGGCAAGACAAACAUUCCAGUUUAGGGGAGAGUUAUCGGGAAAGUCGGGAUAUCAGGGAUGGCGACCGAGACAGGAAUGACAGGGAUAGGAGAGAAAUGUAUCAUAGUGAAGAUAUGUAUGAUAGAAGAGACUCUAGAAAAUAUGGCCAAGAGGUUGGUGCGGCAGACAUGGACAUUUCUUCAGGUGAUAGCACUCCAACGUCAGAGCACCUCCAUAAUAGGGGCAGUGGUGAGAACAGCCACGAUAUCAGUGGGGCCAAUGUGUCGUUAGCAUCGUCAGGUUUGGUGUCUGCGUCGGGCACCUCAGUAACGUCCACCCACGCAGGCUCGGGCCCUGCACUCCUGAGAACUAAGUUGGGAACCAGUUUAGGGAUGCUGCCCACAUCUCUACCCUCCUCCUUACCCCACCUGGGUAGCAGCACGGCGGCCUCCACCUCUGUCACCAACACCACCACCACCACCUCCUCCCUAGGUAGCAGCAUCCCAACCCUCAGUGGUUCCACGCCCAUGGCUGUGCCGCAGCUCCUUAGCCACCACCCUCGCGUCAUAUCCCUCUCUAGUUCUCUGAACAAGGGCGGUGUUGAUGUGGAUACAGGAAAGACUGUCAACUCAAACAACUCUCAUUCUCAUGAUGGAGAGGGACAUCUAGUGAAAUUACAAUUAGAACCUCUAACAAUAUCAGCAAAUAGUAAUAAUAUAGGUGGAGGUCCUCCCACACCAACACACUCUGAAAACCAAGAUGGCAUUGACAUCAGAAAAGUGGGUAGCCCAAGCAGCAGUAUUAACUCGCUACAGUCAUUGACGCAAACAACAGGAGGGUCAUUGGCAGGAGCAAAACCGUUAGUUCCUGCCCUCACGCCCAGUCUGGCUAACUAUUACAAUGAAACCCUCAUUUCACACGUACAAAACUGGCCAGCAGAGAAUUUAGAAAAACCGGCACAGAGAUUAGCUGAGGAAGCUCAUUCUGUUGGAAGUCUAGUGAUGACGCGGGUAUCUGCCGAGCUCAAGAUGGCACGGUCCCUGGUACGACUGGCAGAGAUACAGGCUACACUCCAUGAACAAAGGAUACUUUUUCUACGUGCUCAGAAGCGAGAACUUGAGGAGAUGAAGGCGCAGAAUUCCUUCAUGAGUGACACAUAGUGUUGGGCUGCCUGUGAUAGCUGCCUGGGUCAGUUGUCUGGAUGUUGACAUGCCUGGGAUUAUUUAUAAAGUGUUAUAUUUUCUUAAUCAUGUACUGGAUGUGUGAACAUUGGUGAAGUCCAAAGUGCAGGGUGUGGCAGUGAGGUGAGGCCCGAGUCCUCCCCUUGUGUGGGUUUUGGGCGAGUGCCAGCACCAGUAUCAUCACAGCAGCCAGUGCAAAGAUGACUGCUGCCACAGGCCAGGGUAACUGCCAGCUCCUCACAGGAUUCACCAACAACCUACCGUCCUGUGUCUGGCCCGGCCUACCCUGGCCACCCUCCACCGAUAACCCCAAUGUCAUCUAUGUUUCUCUGUGAUGAAUGACACAACUAGACACCUCUGAAGGCUGAGCCUGUACACUGAACAGCUCUGCUACGUCACAAUGUAAUACCGGCUAGCCAGAGGCUGGCACUGUAUCACACUCCCUGGGGUCUUGAGAAUCACCCCUUCGAGCAUCAUCUGUCCCGUUCCCCUUCGUCACUCUCACUCUGUGUUCCUUCUUUGCUGGCUGACUUGUCAAGCCCACGUGGAUAUCUGGAAGUCUUGGCAGAGCUCUCCAGCCCAAUAGGUUUGAAAAAAAAAAUAACAAGAAAAAAGAAUUGUUGUCUUAUUGCUUUACACAUUUCACAACAAAACACUAGUGAACCACUCCUCUUACCAGCAUGUCACUACCGGAAGGAUGUCACGGGCGGCUUCCACCAGCUCUAUUCCAGCUUCCGGGGAAUAAGUUGGGCGAAGCGAGCGGGGGUGACUUUUCUGUCGCGGUAGCAGUGGUACACGGAACUUUUACCUAUUUACUAUCAGUAGAUUCUGGAGAGCGUAGUUGAAUUUCUUAACUGCUUUCCGUAAUCAGUUAUCCAAGUGACUAGAAACAAAAUUAUGGGGAAUUGAUUGAUGAUUGGAAGCCAAACGUCUAAUUUUUAUUUUGUGAAGUGUGAGCCAGCUCAGCGACCACUCCAACCAAAAGCCAAGUAUU
rnacentral:misc_RNA from 1 species